GAUGUCUAUUUGGAAGGUUGUGCCCUGAGGCGUGGCUUCCGGAAGCUAACGGCGUUAAAUAGACCCGCCUGGGGGAGUACGGCCGCAAAGGUUAAAACUCAAAUGAAUUGACGGGGGCCCGCACAAGCGGUGGAGCAUGUGGUUUAAUUCGAUGCAACGCGAAGAACCUUACCUGGUCUUGACAUCCACAGAACUUGGCAGAGAUGCCCUGGUGCCUUCGGGAACUGUGAGACAGGUGCUGCAUGGCUGUCGUCAGCUCGUGUUGUGAAAUGUUGGGUUAAGUCCCGCAACGAGCGCAACCCUUAUCCUUUGUUGCCAGCGAUUCGGUCGGGAACUCAAAGGAGACUGCCAGUGAUAAACUGGAGGAAGGUGGGGAUGACGUCAAGUCAUCAUGGCCCUUACGACCAGGGCUACACACGUGCUACAAUGGCAUAUACAAAGAGAAGCGACCUCGCGAGAGCAAGCGGACCUCAUAAAGUAUGUCGUAGUCCGGAUUGGAGUCUGCAACUCGACUCCAUGAAGUCGGAAUCGCUAGUAAUCGUGGAUCAGAAUGCCACGGUGAAUACGUUCCCGGGCCUUGUACACUUAAUCCGACUCACCAUAGGAGUGGGUUGCAAAAGAAGUAGGUAGCUUAACCUUCGGGAGGGCGCUUACCACUUUGUGAUUCAUGACUGGGGUGAAGUUGUAACAAGGUAACCAA
rnacentral:rRNA from 1 species